UUUCCGAAAGUUAUCAUGACCUUCCCAAACAGCUCCAACAACUGGAGACCAAGUCUUCAAAUAUAGGAGCCUCUUCAGGAUGUUUCUAAUUCAAAUCAUGACCGCACACAUGGUAUUGGGAUCUACCUUAGGUAGUAGUGGAAGAUGGGUGAACACAUAGCUUGUGACAAGCUGAGAGGAGGACCAAACUGCACAAGUCUGGUUCUCUUGGUUCGUCUGUCUCAUCAGCUCAGCAGUUUUCCCAGAUGAUAGGCUGAGCAAAUUUUGGAAGAUCCCCAUAAGAAAGUUCUCGGAUAUAUUUUGAAAGCUGCAGCAUCUCUAUAGGGAUUUGUGCAUUGUUGAUUGUCCUCUCUCCUCAGGUUAGCAGUGGAAACUUGGAUUUUUUGUUGUAAGAAGUUGGAGCUGGGAACUGGAAAGGAGGUGCUGAGGAGGUAACCCAUAGUAGCACACACAGCUCAUGGAGGAAAAUAAACCAGAGCAUUAGCUGCAGCCCGGGUUGAAUCCUUGGAAGGGCGGCUAAAACAAGAAGACCCAUGGCGGGGUGGUUAGCUGGAAACACCUUGAGGCCAGGGCUGAGUGAUGUGGAGAGCCCAGCUGUGAAGAGAUUCAACCCUACCUUCCCAUGUACUGCUCGGUAUGAUCUCAAACAGAUUACUGUAGGUUUUCCUCAGUUGUAAAUGGAUUAAAAUGUUACUACUGUAGGUUUUCCUCAGUUGUAAAUGGAUUAAAAUGUUACUUAAUUCA